rnacentral:rRNA from 1 species
UGGGGAAUAUUGCACAAUGGGGGAAACCCUGAUGCAGCGACGCCGCGUGAGCGAAGAAGGUUUUCGAAUCGUAAAGCUCUGUCCUAUGAGAAGAUAAAGACGGUAUCAUAGGAGGAAGCCCCGGCUAAAUACGUGCCAGCAGCCGCGGUAAUACGUAUGGGGCGAGCGUUGUCCGGAAUUAUUGGGCGUAAAGGGUACGUAGGCGGUCUAUUAAGUCAGGUGUGAAAGCGUGAGGCUUAACCUCAUUAAGCACUUGAAACUGAUAGACUUGAGUGAAGGAGAGGAAAGUGGAAUUCCUAGUGUAGCGGUGAAAUGCGUAGAUAUUAGGAGGAAUACCGGUGGCGAAGGCGACUUUCUGGACUUUUACUGACGCUCAGGUACGAAAGCGUGGGGAGCAAACAGG